rnacentral:lncRNA from 10 species
GACUCCUGGCUACCAGCAUGUGCCAAAGUACAGCAGCUGGACCUCCCUGAGGUGCCAAAUGAUUUUAGGUGGAAUGUGGAAACAUUUUAAUACUAGUACUUCUGUCUUAUUCUAAUUUAUAUUAAGAGAAAAAUAUAACUAGUACUUUAUUCCUUAGGAUGGGGGUGUUUUUAAGAGUUUGUUUGUUUAUUUAUUUAUUUAUCAGUAGAGAUGGAGGUCUCAUCCUGUUGCCCAGCCUGGAAGAGUCUUUUCAAAUGAUCUAUUAAGUUACAGUACAGGGGAUACAUGCAAACCUCAAAACCUGUGUAAGGGGAAGGCAAAUACUGGAUCUUGGGAACCACUGUAAUCUACUUUGUGUCUAGUCUAUUUCCUAUAUCCAUUGAUGGUUCCUGCCCUGGCUGUGCUUUCCUGUUGUCUCUCUUUGAUGCUGGAUUCUCUGUACCCUGCUCCCACACUGCCUCCUGCUGGCUUUCCUCAGAUAUCAAGGACCAAGUAGUCACAUUUCCCCUACCAUGCAUUGGUGUCGCUUCUUCACUGAAGAAAACACCUAGGGACUGACCACUCCUCCCCUCCACCAGAUCUACCCAACCCAGUGUGUUCUGAGGCUUCAGGGUAAGGCAGUUAGUGAAAUUUUUCUCUCCAAAUCCUGGAAGGUAAGGGUUGUGGUUAGAAGUUCCCCACCUAAGCAUGUGCUCCAGGUGUCAAAAAUUGACAGG